AAGUAAAAUUUUCAGAUGACAUGAAGGCUUCAUUUAUGACCUGACUGCUGCGUAGCUUAGGCCUAGCGUGUUGCUCGCUUCCUUUUAAAUAGCACGGGUGUCUCCUUUCCUGAAGUCCUGAUGGUCUAACGUGUGUAACACUGUUUGAGUGCUCCUCCACUGCAGCGGAAUCCAGGUGCCGAUGUAGUCUAUGUGGUGACACUUCAGAGCUACCUUUAAAUCCUGCACAUCUUUUCCUAACAGGUUUUGUGCAACUCUUUGUUUCAGAUCAGUUAACGGAGGGCCGGCUCGGUCCCUCUACCGUGGUGCUGGACCACACGAGUGGUUUUGAGGGGCUCCUGCUGGUUGAUGAUGACUUACUUGGGGUGAUUGGCCACAGUAACUUUGGCUCUAUCAGGGCCACAACGUGUGUGUACAAAGGGAAAUGGAUUUAUGAGGUGCUUAUCUCCUCCCAGGGACUCAUGCAGAUUGGCUGGUGUACUCUCAACUGCAGAUUUAAUCAGGAGGUAGUGUAAAUC